UCAGCAAACUUUGAGUCAAAGCACUAUGGAUGAGUCUAUAAUAUCGCCAGAUAAUGCAAUUGGUAAAGUGCUAGGAAAAGAGCACUCUGGAAGGGUAAGGUGUUUGGGAUUAGGAGUUGUUCCCACUAAAGUUUUAAACAAGCAAGACCUCGAUUCAACGGUAUGAAUGCUUCGAGUGUUUCAUGUCCAUCCAAUUGCCAACAGAAUUACAAUAAAUUGUUGAAUUGUCACAAUCAAAUGAUGGCCGCUUUCAAGUCAUAUAUGAUAAUGAAAGAAGGGACAUUACCAGAACAAUUUGUGGGGUUAUUUGCUCCUCCUCCUACAAUGACAGGUGAUGCUAGUGACAGUAGUCGUAGUGACAAUCGUUGAAGUUCCAUGAAUAGUUGCAGGUCAUUUCUUGAGUAUGGAUGCUAGUGAACCCUUUUCAUCAAUAAAAGCAAGAUUAGCAAAUGACAGUUUUUGUAGUGAUUUGAAGUUUCUUGUAAUCGUAAUGGUUGUAGUGAAUGAUAUGUUUCAAUUUAGUUUGUAAAACUAAUAGUACACUUUAUGAUAUAUUUUUUUGUUGAAAUAUUUUGUUGUUUCUUAAUACUAAUAAGCCCUUUUAGGUUUGA